rnacentral:lncRNA from 1 species
GGAGCUUGUGAAUCUAAUUGUAAAGCUUGAAGGAUUGGGUUGGAAGCCUUAAUAACGGAAUCCUCAGUUAGAAGUUUGAUGAGAAUGGACAAAGGCGGAUUGUCAAACCAUUAUAAAGGAGUUUGCACAUUUCUUCUCUUUAUCCUUUACUUGAUUGUUGCCUUGCUCAUUAUCUCCUAUUUUUUUAAUUGAUUUUUUUUAUAAAAAAAAAGACAAAAAAAGUUUUUAAUACCCAAUUCAUCUCUUUCUUAGGUGAUUUACUUAAUCAAACUAGCUACUUUUUCAUAAAUGGUUUUAUUGUUCGCAUUAGUCCUCCAAACAAAAAGAAAUAGAAGUUGUAUUGAUACUAGCAAAUGAAGAAAAAAAUUUAACUAUCACCUAUGUUAUACUAUAACAGAGUAAGAUUUUUCAUCCUUAAGAGUAAAAGAUUUUAAGUAGACCUUGAUUCAAGAUUUGGGAAUUUCCUAAGAAGUUCUAUUGAAUCUUUUUUACCCUCAAAGCACCCAAGAAAGAUGAACCAACCAAUAAGUCCAUGCUAAUUUUUUGGCUUGGAGAACUUUCAAGCCUCCUCUAUAUUUCCACUAGAAUCUUCAUUAGAAAGUAAUGUUGGUGCCAUUUCAAACUUCUAGAUCCUAACUAGCAUUUGAUACUUAACUUUAGCCUUAUUUU